CAGGUAACUGUGGAGGUGGAGCUUAGACAGAAUGCCAACAGAAAAUAUCUCUAAUGCCAACAAAAUACCAUUUAUACUGAUAGAAUGAUGAAAUCCUACCUUUGAGGUACAACCUCACCCCUCAUCCCACAAGUGCACACACAGACAAAGGAAGAGGAAGAGAGAAAGAAAUGGAGGAGAAGCAUGGAGAAAAAAGUGUUCAACGGUGUCCAUGAUGAGCAAGCUGGGCAUGGAUGUACAUAUCCGUAACCUCAGGAAUUAUGGGAUUGAAGCCAGCUGAAGGUUCCAAGAAGCCCCACUGAAGACAAUCUUCUAACUAUGAAGAGAAGCGCUUCACUCUUGCUGAGCCCUGGCCAGACACAGCUUUCUGCAAUAUUCACAGACCUCUCUGAUCUCCAUGGACUCUGUAUGCCCAGUGCCCUGUGUGGCUGUUACCCUACAGGGGUCCUGCAAGGCUCUGUAGACAUCUUGGCCCAGUUAGAACCAGUGGUUGGGGAUUUCUGGGUAGAAGUCACCUUGUGUUCAAACCACCCUGCUUGCCAAGGUGCUAAACAUUACACCGAAGCUGCUUGGGGACCACGGUCUGACACAGUGCAGUUCUGUUCCCAUUCAGGGCAAUGGGAUGGGGAGGUAGCCACCCAGUGAGGGAGAGGUACACGCUGGUCAUGUGCUGGAGGACCUCCCCAGCCUGCAGUCUGUGUUGUGCGUGCACAGAGGCUCCACUCUUGUUCCAAAGUCCCAACCAGCCUCCGGUUUGUUGUUGGAACUGGAGCUGGUGAUUUGCUUUAAAUAGGCCCUGCACAGGCCUCAGUCUGUUUUUUUUAUUUUAUUUUAUUUUUUUUAUUGAAUGAGUCCUGAAGGUGCUUUCCAAGAAAUAAGGAAAAACCAACCUUACAGUGGGGACUCUGAGCUGAAAGGAAGGUGGCAGAGCCUUUCCCUGCAGCUGGAAGGCUGUAGCCAUGCAAAGUGUGGCCUGGGAGGCAGAAGGCUUGAUAGGAGUCUUCAGGGAGCCACGGAGCCCAUGGAGGGCAAGCCUCUCUCUCUCAAGCAUGUGAGUUUCUAGACUUAAGGCAGCAAAUGGUCACAAACUAAAUGACAUCCACAGUGCACAUCUAUUCUCUGCCCGGGAAUUGAGUCUGUCGCAGGACUGUGCCCUUUCCAAAAGCUCUGGGGAAUAACGUUCUUGCCUUUUACCCGGUGUUCCUUGGCAACCCUUGACCCUUGUCCCCUCCUUCCCACACCACAGCCUUUGCUGUUGUGUAUCUGUUUCCUCCCAGUCCUGUUUUGGAGGAAAAGUCCAUCCUCAUCCAGAAGGGUGAGGUGAUGACAUUAGGCACCGGGACCAAGCCACUAACCUAUCGUUUGUAGGGGACACUGCAAUCUGCAGCACUGUUAUGUGCUUCUGGGCACACAAGGAGGACCACACGCGUGUUUCAUGAACAUUCUGAGCUGGUGAGCAAAGAGCCUCUGAGGUGAGCUCAAAGGACAGGAAACAGUGUGUUCCAGGGUUAUGUGGGGCUGUGGGUGAGAGGCUGUUGGAAGGCAGAUCCGUCACUGUGGGAAGGUGUGGCUGAGCAUGGCGGUGGGAGCAGGUGGCAGAGGACAGCUGUUUGCAUCAGAGCAGACAGGAAGUGAAAAAGGGGAGGCCAGAGCCUAGGAAACAUGGCUGGUGUCCUCGAACAUCCCCUCAGGGUGAGAGAGGCAAAGAGGUCAAACGAGAUGGUUAACCGAAGCCUGAAGGUGAGAGAAAGCCAGUCAAGCAGCCUUCUGAGAGAAGGCCCCAGGCCAGGCCAGCUGCCGGUGAUGGAGAGGACCAAGGGGGUGAGAAGCAGGCAGAGGAGGAAGGCAUGGGAUGUCACCAAGGGCCUUGGAGGCUGUGUUGAUUUGAAUAAGAAUGGCUCCUGUGUUUGAAUGCUGAAUCAUCAGGAAGUGGUACUAUUUGAGAAGGAUUAGGAGGUGUGGUCUUGUUAGAGUAGGUGUUGCUUUGUUGGAAGAAAGUAUGUUGCUGAGGUAGGUGGUCUUUGAGAUUAAAAAGCUCAUGCCAGACACAAGUCUCAUAUUCUCUCUCUCUCUCUCUCUCUCUCUCUCUCUCUCUCUCUCUCUCUCUAUCUCUAUCUCUAUCUCUUCUCUCUCUUCUCUGCUGAAGAUCAGGAUAUAGCUGCCUCUCCAGGACCACGUCUGCCUGUUGCCAUGCUCCCUGGUGUGAUGAUAAUAGACAUUGUAAGCCAGCCCCCCCCAGCCUUUCACAUCAUUCCUCCUCCCCACAGCCCCUCAGCUCUGAGCAUCCGCAGUUCUUCCUUAUCUGUUUAGCUCUGACCUCACCGUUUGGUUUUGGAGAGCUGGAGCUUCUGGCUACUCCUUUCAUCAGCAGAGAUUUCUCCUCCCCCUGUUCUCCCUAGCCCACCGUGUCCACGAUUUAAGUACCGCCGUGCACCUCACUACCUCGGGGAAAACUCUUCUCCCAGGUUUCUGCAGGUUUCUCCCAAGUUUCUGUGUUGUAUGGAAGGGCUGUGUGUUGUGUGAAACUUUCCCUACGGAGACCACGUGCACACACACAAACACACCUGCUCGCCCCAGAUAGGGAACCCACGAUAGGCCAAAGGAAUAACUACACCAAAGUCCAGCUUGUUGAACCAGUGAGUUUACUGGGCUUACUAACAGGAGUGUGUGUGAAGGGUUACUUACAGGAGCAUGGAUGAGUUGAAGGUAUCUGUACCGCUGAGAGCCCAUCCCAGCAUGGGUGAUGACCCAGGAAGGCUUGACCCUGGGGCUGUUUUCAGGGCUUGCGGGCGCCUCUGUGGACUGGAGAAGCUUUUCCAGGCAGUCUUUCAGAUCAGAAUCCACUCCCCUGUCAGCUGUUUGCUGCUUCUGUGAUACCGGGGAGGCCUUCCUGAAUCUUGUGAGUGAAAGCGUCAAUCCGUACACUGUUAUACGCAACCAUGGCCUCUCUGUAUUAGCUUUCUUUCUUGUUGGUGUGGCCAAAAAAAAUGCAACAUUAUGCCACUUAAAGGAGAAUUUAUUUUGGCUUGGGGUUCAAAGGUACAGUUCACAGUGGUGAGGAAGCGACACAGUCCUUUUUGGUUCUCCCCCCCCCCCCCCCCGAGCUGGGGACCGAACCCAGGGCCUUGCGCUUCCUAGGCAAGCACUCUACACUGAGCUAAAUCCCCAACCCCGACACAGUCCUUUUUAAUUCAGUCUGAGUCCCCAGUCAACGGCUCUGCUCACGCUCAGGGUAGGUCUUCCCCCACAUUUAAUCUUCCCUGGAAGCCUGUCACAGACACAUCUGAAGAUGUGCCUCACUAACACCCUAGGGCCCAGCGCUGCCCAACCUUUUGCCAUAGUGACACGAUGUCUUCAUCUACAACUAUGUUGGGCUGCAUUCUUAUUGGUCCCAAGACACGUGUGGCCGGAGAGCUGUGGCUUAAGGUAUGCCUAGCCUAAAUGUUUCUGAAUCUAAUCCAACAGACAAUCAAAACAAACCGUCCAUCCCAUCUACCUUUCUCCUCUUUCCUUGGUGGCAGUCCGCAUGGGCUGACUGGACGAAGUUCACAGACUCAAGGUGUCAGAGCCACAAGAGGGAAGGCCCCCCGGCAUCUGUGGCUGACUCUCCACUUCCUAAGUAAGAAACAAUAAAAUUCUGUCUUA